AUUCUAUAAGAAAAAGUGUGACAAUAGCCUCCAAGUGUAAAAUACAAACAAAGAACAGACCCACAACCACACAAGUUUGGCUCCCAACUACCCAAGCUGAUGUACAGUAUGGAUCUAAGCAUACUUACUCAAGAAGUGAGUCCCGUUGAGUUCAGAGGGGCUUACCCCACCAGUAAGCAUGCCUAGGAUUGUAGCCCAUGCUUGUUUAACUUAGAAAUAAGUUCCACAUUAGCCCAUCUCAUACACAGAUGAUUUGUGAUCAUGAAGGAAAUUAACCCCUUCCUCCAUGUCCAAUUCCUCUAACAGCAAAGUUCUGCAAAGACUUUAUAUGUUCAGAGAAAGGAACACAAAUUGGGUUGGAUGACAGGAGAUGCCAUGAUGAGAUCCAUGUUGAUGGCAGAGCUGUUGUUUCCAGGGUGUGGUUUGGGGAGUGCAAGUAACUGUGGCUAUGCGUUCAAGUCUCUGGGCUGUUGUUGCCCAUGAGAGAGGCUGCAAACAUCAAUAUAUAUGAACCCAGCAGUAGAUUUGAGAUCACUGCAUAUCCGGGUCAUCCUGUGAUUCAUUUCUUAGUAGUUAUUCCUUAGAAUAUUAGCAAGUUUAGGAAAGGGGUGGUGUGUUUGUGUGUGUGUGUGUGUGUGUGAGAGAGAGAGAGAGAGAGAAGGAGGCUUUGUGUAUGGUUUUGUUUGGGGAGCUUAACUGAAGGCAGUAGUCAUAGGUGUGAGACUGAAUCGCCUGAGUCAAUAAAGAGGCACAGAAUGCCUUGAGAUAGAUGAGGAACCUGUGGCCCUACGCAUGUUGUGGGUCUCCAUCAGCUUCAGCCUGUCCAACAACAUCUGGCAGUCCAUGUAUACAAUUUCCCCAUUCCUGUUUCAGACCAGCCACAGUAUGGGUGAGCAGAGUUGCAGAUGAUUAGCCUACAUUUUCUCAAGCACCCACAGUAUCGUAAGGAGCAAAGAGGGCUGCACCACCAUGCUGUCAAAGACAGAGGUACUGAUCCCAUGCUUGCAAUAUAUGUAACCAAUUUAUGUAAACCAACAUUUGCCCCACUGCUUUUCUCUGGGAAAACUAGCUCUGAAUUGGAACAAGCUGCAGUUGAGUUAAACCUAUUAAAUCAUAGGUUUUUCUGGGGAAAGUGGUGAGGCAAAGGGAAUACCACUCAGACCUGUGCCUAAAAAGCAGGGGGCAAGCAGAAAACUACUAGAGAAGUUUCUAGAGAAGUAUGGGCGAGCCCUAAGUUUUUAAUGAAUAACGUAGCAAGAGUAUCCAAUGCAUUUCAAGCCAACCAAAGAGACUCUCCAUCAUCAGGGCGUUUUAGAAUGUGUACAAUAGCUAUGAGACUGCUGAACAGUUGAGAUGUAAAUUUCUUCACAGUCAUUCUUAUUUUUAUUUUAUGUUAGCGGUUUCCCCCAGUUCUGCUACUUGAGACCCUUUUAAAUUGAGAUGUUAGGGCCUGAACCUGAUGCUUCCUACAUCUACAUCUGCACAUUGAGCAGAUCAGCACCACACAUUUAAAGUACUGUAUCUUAUUCCUCCACCCCACCCUGAAUCCUGGGAAUGGUAGUUUGUUAAGAAUGCUGGGAAUCAUAGCCCUGUGAGAAGAAAACUACAGCUCCCAAGGUUCUUGCAAGGGAAGUCAGGUGCUUUAAAUGUGCACAGGAUGUGCUUUCAAUGUAUGGUGUGGCUCUGCUCUGAGUUAUGGGUCCUGCUGCCCUUCCAUAUUUUCCUUCUCUCCAUUUGUUCUUGAUAAACUAUUCCAAAUGUUAUCAAAAGCACAGACCAUGGCGAAUGGUGCAAACGAAAUGAAUUUGUGUCAGUUGCCACAAUUUGGCCCAGAAAGCCAUAUUCGAAACUUUAUGCUGUAUGGUAGAACACACUGAAAUUUUCCUGAAUGACUAGCUUUCUUUCUUUCUUUCUUUCUUUCUUUCUUUCUUUCUUUCUUUCUUUCUGGCAAGGGCAUAUAAAUGCAUCAGCCAAAGCAAAACCAGAACUCAGAUGCACAGAGUAAGCUUCCGAAAGCCUGUCUCCGUUGCCGCCAUUGGCGGUGUGGGCCAUGUGUUUAUUAAUGGUAUUGAUCUUGGCAGGAUCUGGGAAGACGCCCUUGUGAAGAAAUGAUGUGGCUGGGGCCUUGCACCUGGGACUAUAACAAGUCACAGUUGGAUGGCCUUGUGCUUUCAAAACCAGCCUGCUGAAAGCCAGUUAAACACAUCCUCCAGGCAAUUUAAAUGUUCCUGGAAAGUUCUCCCAAUAACAAUCACAUCAUCCAGAUAAACCCAACAUGUGGCCCACUGAAUAUCUGCCAAAAUCAAAUCCAUUAGCCUUUGAAAAGUGCAGGGGGAAUUGCGGAGACUGAAAGGCGUCAUGCUGAACUCACGGAACGAGACAAGGAAUCUUUGGACAACCCUUUGGAUGUCUCUCUACUUUCCGGAAGCCAAUGGCUAAGUCCAAGGUAAAAUAAUCACACAUCUAUAUAACUGAGCGUGUGUCAUAGAUGCAGAGUAAUGGGGCAUGCAGUUCCCUGGUGAGUAUGUCACUAUUUGUAUGGCUUUUGCAUGGAUCCAAUUUAACAUUCUGUGCAA